rnacentral:rRNA from 1 species
AUUGAACGCUGGCGGCAGGCCUAACACAUGCAAGUCGAACGAGUGGCGGACGGGUGAGUAAUGUCUGGGAAACUGCGCGAUGGAGGGGGAUAACUACUGGAAACGGUAGCUAAUACCGCAUACCAUCGGAUGUGCCCAGCUGGGAUUAGCUAGUAGGUGGGGUAACGGCUCACCUAGGCGACGAUCCCUAGCUGGUCUGAGAGGAUGACCAGCCACAUUGGAACUGCGACACGGGCCAGAUGCCGACGGGAGGCAGCAUUGGGGAAGUUUGCACAAUGGGCGCAAGCCUGAUGCAGCCAUGCCGCGUGUAUGAAUAAGGCCUUCGGUUUGUAAAGUACUUUCAGCGAGGAGGCGUUACUCGCAGAAGAAGCACCGGCUAACUCCGUGCCAGCAGCCGCGGUAAUUC